rnacentral:lncRNA from 1 species
AGUGAAGCUAUGAAUGAUAUAUUAGCACAGGUUGCCACUAAUACUGAGACUAGUAAAAAUGUAGGAAAUGCUAUUCUUUAUGAAACGGUUUUGACUAUCAUGGAUAUUAAGUCAGAGAGUGGAUUGCGAAUAUGUGGCUCUGACAUCUUUGUUGAAGACUGUACAGACAGAUCAUAAUGCAGUACAGAGGCACAGAAGCACAAUUGUGGACUGUCUUAAAGAUUUGGAUGUCUCAAUAAAACGGCGUGCAAUGGAAUUGAGUUUUGCCCUGGUAAAUGGGAAUAAUAUCCGAGGCAUGAUGAAAGAAUUACUUUAUUUUCUGGAUUCGUGUGAGCCAGAAUUUAAAGCAGACUGUGCAUCUGGAAUCUUUCUUGCUGCAGAAAAGUAUGCACCUUCCAAACGAUGGCAUAUAGACACAAUUAUGCGUGUUUUGACAACGGCAGGAAGUUAUGUUCGUGAUGAUGCAGUCCCCAAUUUAAUCCAGUUAAUAACUAAUAGUGUGGAGAUGCAUGCCUAUACUGUCCAGCGCCUGUACAAAGCAAUUCUUGGUGAUUAUUCUCAA